CGCGUAGGUGGUCAAAUAAGUCUGGUGUGAAAUAUCUCGGCUCAACCGAGGAGGCGCGCUGGAAACUGUUUGACUUGAGUGAUGGAGGGGGAGCUGGAAUUCCAGGUGUAGGGGUGAAAUCUGUAGAGAUCUGGAAGAACACCGGAGGCGAAGGCGAGCUCCUGGCCAUCAACUGACACUGAGGCGCGAAAGCGUGGGGAGCGAACAGGAUUAGAUACCCUGGUAGUCC
rnacentral:rRNA from 1 species